rnacentral:misc_RNA from 1 species
GAUGAAGAACGCAGUGAAAUGCGAUAAGUAAUGCGAAUUGCAGAAUUCCAGUGAGUCAUCGAAUCUUUGAACGCACAUUGCGCCCUUUGGUAUUCCGAAGGGCAUGCCUGUUCGAGCGUCAUUAUCACCCCUCAAGCCCUCGGCUUGGUGUUGGACGGUUUGGUGGAGGCCCCCUCGGGGGCUCCUGCCCCUCCCAAAGACAAUGACGGCGGCCUCGUUGGACCCCCGGUACACUGAGUUCUUCACGGGACACGUAUCGGACACAUGGGUUUACGGGACACGGUCUGCCUCCCCUCAAGGGAGAAUCUUUCUAAGGUUGACCUCGGAUCAGGUAGGGAUACCCGCUGAACUUAAGCAUAUCAAUAAGCGGAGGA